UGAGGAAUAUUGGUCAAUGGGCGCAAGCCUGAACCAGCCAUCCCGCGUGAAGGAUGAAGGCCCUAUGGGUCGUAAACUUCUUUUAUACACCAAGAAAAAGCAGGACGAGUCCUGCCCCGACGGUAGUGUAUGAAUAAGCACCGGCUAACUCCGUGCCAACAGCCGCGGUAAUACGGAGGGUGCGAGCGUUGUCCGGAUUUAUUGGGUUUAAAGGGUGCGUAGGUGGCUUUAUAAGUCAGUGGUGAAAUACAGCCGCUCAACGGUCGAGGUGCCAUUGAUACUGAAAAGCUUGAGUACAAUUGAGGUAAGCGGAAUGUGUAGUGUAGCGGUGAAAUGCUUAGAGAUUACACAGAACACCAAUUGCGAAGGCAGCUUACUAAACUGUUACUGACGCUGAUGCACGAAAGCGUGGGGAGCGAACA
rnacentral:rRNA from 1 species